UGGGGAAUAUUGGACAAUGGGGGGAACCCUGAUCCAGCCAUGCCGCGUGUGUGAAGAAGGCCUUAUGGUUGUAAAGCACUUUAAGCGAGGAGGAGGGUACUUGUAUUAAUACUACCAGGUACUGGACGUUACUCGCAGAAUAAGCACCGUCUAACUCUGUGCCAGCAGCCGCGGUAAUACAGAGGGUGCGAGCGUUAAUCGGAUUUACUGGGCGUAAAGCGUGCGUAGGCGGCUAAUUGAGUCGGAUGUGAAAUCCCCGAGCUUAACUUGGGAAUUGCAUUCGAUACUGGUUAGGUAGAGUGUGGGAGAGGAUGGUAGAAUUCCAGGUGUAGCGGUGAAAUGCGUAGAGAUCUGGAGGAAUACCGAUGGCGAAGGCAGCCAUCUGGCCUAACACUGACGCUGAGGUACGAAAGCAUGGGGAGCAAACAGG
rnacentral:rRNA from 1 species